GUAUUGAUUGCGUGUGAUCGCAAAUAAAAUAAAAGACAUUCUACACUGCAUCAAUGUUUGUGUGAAAACGCAAGCCCCCCUCCGAACAAGCCGAAAGGGGGACCCACGCGGUGGUGCACAUAGGGGUGAGAUGGAUGGUGUGUGAGAGCACUCGGGCGUGCACGACAAAAAGUCAGCGACAGCCCUUGCAUGCCCCUCACAUUUUGUACGAUAAUGAUCCUUCCGCAGGUUCACCUACGGAAA
rnacentral:misc_RNA from 1 species